UACGGAAGGCAGCAGUGGGGAAUAUUGCACAAUGGGCGCAAGCCUGAUGCAGCCAUGCCGCGUGUAUGAAGAGGGCCUUCGGGUUGUAAAGUACUUUCAGUCGUGAGGAAGGUGUUAAGGUUAAUAACCUUAGCAAUUGACGUUAGCGACAGAAGAAGCACCGGCUAACUCCGUGCCAGCAGCCGCGGUAAUACGGAGGGUGCGAGCGUUAAUCGGAAUUACUGGGCGUAAAGGGCACGCAGGCGGUUAAUUAAGUUGGAUGUGAAAUCCCCGGGCUUAACCUGGGAAUGGCAUUCAAGACUGGUUAGCUAGAGUCUUGUAGAGGGGGUAGAAUUCCAUGUGUAGCGGUGAAAUGCGUAGAGAUGUGGAGGAUACCGGUGGCGAAGGCGGCCCCUGGACAAAGACUGACGCUCAUGUGCGAAAGCGUGGGGAGCAAACAGGGAUUAGAUACC
rnacentral:rRNA from 1 species